GAUGAACGCUGGCGGCGUGCCUAACACAUGCAAGUCGAGCGAACGGACGAGAAUCUUGCUUCUCUGAUGUUAGCGGCGGACGGGUGAGUAACACGUGGAUAACCCACCUAUAAGACUUGGAUAACUUCGGGAAACCGGAGUUAAUACCGUAUAAUUUCUUGAACCGCAUUGUUCAAAAGUGAAAGACGGUCUUGCUGUCACUUAUAGAUGUAUCCGCGCUGCAUUAGCUAGUUGGUAAGGUAACGGCUUACCAAGGCAACGAUGCAUAGCCGACCUGAGAGGGUGAUCGGCCACACUGGAACUGAGACACGGUCCAGACUCCUACGGGAGGCAGCAGUAGGGAAUCUUCCGCAAUGGGCGAAAGCCUGACGGAGCAACGCCGCGUGAGUGAUGAAGGUCUUCGGAUCGUAAAACUCUGUUAUUAGGGAAGAACAUAUGUGUAAGUAACUGUGCACUUCUUGACGGUACCUAAUCAGAAAGCCACGGCUAACUACGUG
rnacentral:rRNA from 1 species